rnacentral:rRNA from 1 species
GAUGAACGCUGGCGGCGUGCCUAAUACAUGCAAGUCGAGCGAACAGACGAUGAGAUUGCUCCUUUGACGUUAGCGGCGGACGGGUGAGUAACACGUGGAUCACCUACCUCUAAGACUGGGAUAACUUCGGGAAACCGGAGCUACUACCGGAUAAUAUAUUGAACCGCAUGGUUCAAUAGUGAAAGGCGGUUUUGCUGUCACUUCUAGAUGGAUCCGCGUCAGAUUAGCUAGUUGGUAAGGUAACGGCCUACCAAGGCGACGUAGCGUAGCUGACCUGAGAGGGUGAUCGGCCACACUGGAACUGAGACACGGUCCAGACUCCUACGGGAGGCAGCAGUGGGGAAUAUUGCGCAAUGGGCGGAAGCCUGACCGAGCAACGCCGCGUGAGUGAAGAAGGUCUUCGGAUCGUAAAACCCUGUUAUUAGGGAAGAACAAAAGCGGAAGUAAACAUGGCCGUCCUGACGGUACCCAAACAAAAAGCAACGGCUAACUACGUG